rnacentral:rRNA from 1 species
UACAGAGGGUGCAAGCGUUGUUCGGAAUUAUCGGGCGUAAAGCGCGUGUAGGCGGCUUUGCAAGUCGGGUGUGAAAGCCCUCAGCUCAACUGAGGAAGUGCGCCCGAAACUGCAGAGCUUGAGUGCCGGAGAGGGUGGCGGAAUUCCCCAAGUAGAGGUGAAAUUCGUAGAUAUGGGGAGGAACACCGGUGGCGAAGGCGGCCACCUGGACGGUAACUGACGCUGAGACGCGAAAGCGUGGGUAGCAAACAGG